UUGUACAAGGAGCCAAGAUCUGUUGUUCUUCCUAAUAACAAUGAAAAAAAUAUUGAAGAAAGUGAAGAUAAUUAUAGUAAACCAAUCGGUUCAUCUGAUGAUGUUUGGUAAGAAUUCUCUUACGCACAGAAUGUGGCGCUGGAUGUAGAUGAGGAGGAGGAUGAGGAGGCUCUUUGACCUGGAGGGUGAUCGCUCACGGAGUAUCACCCCAGGUAGUGGUGCUGAUGAUCCACUACCAUCUCCGGAUGCAGGUAUAAAAAUUAAUUAAUACUUUAACAUGUUUUAUAAAUUUUUAGUUAUCUAGCUCAUAGUGUUCAUUUGUUGUAGAUGCUAGAUAUUCAUCACCCGGCCCCUCUGAUGCAGCACCAGAACCAUCCCCCGAUGCAGGUAUCCAUCUUACCCAGCAUCUUAAUGUUUAGUAUGAUUAUGAAAUCUCAUAAUUUAUAAUAUGACAGGGGAAAUCAUUAAUGCCGAUACACUUGAGGGCCAGAGCGGCAUAUGGUACUUUUCGUGAACAAUAUAGGGGUGAUGAGAGGAAUCGGGAUAAGAUCACGGCAAAUCUCGAGUUAGUGGAGGGAUUUGAGACUGCAUCCAAGGAGGCUGC